UACAGAGGUCUCAAGCGUUGUUCGGAUUCAUUGGGCGUAAAGGGUGCGUAGGCGGCUUGUCGCGUCGACUGUGAAAACCCGCGGCUCAACUGCGGGCUUGCAGCCGAUACGGGCAGGCUAGAGUUCGGUAGGGGAGACUGGAAUUCCUGGUGUAGCGGUGAAAUGCGCAGAUAUCAGGAGGAACACCGGUGGCGAAGGCGGGUCUCUGGGCCGAACUGACUGCGUGAGGAGCGAAAGCGUGGGGAGCGAACAGG
rnacentral:rRNA from 1 species